rnacentral:rRNA from 1 species
CCUACGGGGGGCAGCAGUGAGGAAUAUUGGUCAAUGGGCGAGAGCCUGAACCAGCCAAGUCGCGUGAAGGAUGAAGGCUCUAUGGUUUGUAAACUUCUUUUAUAUGGGAAUAAAGUGAGGAACGUGUUCCUUUUUGUAUGUACCAUAUGAAUAAGCAUCGGCUAACUCCGUGCCAGCAGCCGCGGUAAUACGGAGGAUGCGAGCGUUAACCGGAUUUUUAGGGAUUAAAGGGUGCGGAGGUGGUUCAUUAAGUCAGCGGUGUAAGUUUGUGGCUCAACCAUAAAAUUGCCGUUGAAACUGGUUGACUUGAGGAUAUUUGAGGUAGGCGGAAAGCGAGGUGGAGCGGUGAAAGGCAUAGAUAUCACGCAGAACUCCGAUUGCGAAGGCAGCUUACUAAACUAUAACUGACACUGAAGCACGAAAGCGUGGGGAUCAAACAGGAUUAGAUACCCUUGUAGUC